GGAAGACCGCAUUUACGCUAAGUGUUGGCAUAUCUCUAAUAAGAUAAGGUACUUGGGAUCUAUUUAUUUUUCAAUACAAUCCCAAUUAAAAUACUAUAUAUCAACACUUAAGUGUUAGAAUAAAGCUAAAUUUCUUGAUUUUGUUAUAGUCUGCCAAAGAAAAAAUUACUAAUUGUCAUGUCUGCCAAAUGUUUGGAUAAGUUUGAAUUUUUAUAUUGCAAUUUAAAGUUUAUUUGAGCCAAUGAUUUGCAAUUGUUAAUUUUUAUGUUAACUCAAAUUAUUCUCACUGAAAUAUUAUAAAGUUUUUAAUCGGCUUUGAAUGUAUUUAGUUUUUUAACUCUUAAGCUAUGUCCUGCGGACUCUCCAAAAUGUAGCCGCACCCGUGUCAGAUCCUUCAAAAAUGCACUACUUUUGGAGAAUACGACACGUAUCCUCCCACAUUUUCGAAGAGUCGGAGUAACAUAGCUUUUAAGUGACAUAAUUAUCAGACACCCCCCUUCUAAGUAUAAAAAAUAUUCUAAUAUGUAAUAUUCAUCACCUUUUCUUAUUAUAAGUUUAUGAUGAGAUGUUUAAUUGGAAGUGGAAGACAUAAAUUCUUAGUGAUGAUCAUUUUCAAGAAGGUAUUCAUAGAUAAAGUAUAGCCUAUAAAAUUAAUAUACGAUAAUUCAUACCUAAGUAAUUCCCAUGUAUUAGAUGUAGUAUGAACAAACCUAAAGAGUUUCUUCUUCUUGAUUUUCCUACAAGAAAUGGAAAUAUAGACAGUAUACCUUAUAUCAUUGUCUCUAUUCCUCUUUUUGGGGCUCAAUUUUUUAGUGUUGCUGGUUACGUUGUCAUAUGGGUAUCAAUACGUGCUAAUGUUCGAGUAUCAAGUGUAACAAAGCGGUUUACUCGAGAGGUUUUGCAGGUUCCUUUUCACUUGUCAACAUCAACAACACUAAGGUCCUUUGUUGUAUAAAUUGACUUGAGAUCUUUAUGAUGUAGAUAGAUGUGGAUUUUCAGCAUUGAUAGUCGUUGGAAUGUCUGUAAUGGAUGUUUCCAUCCUUUAUGCAACUUUGCAUGUGGUUGGGGUGGAUUUGUAGUGAUUGCUGUGGCAUCUCAUACAAUUUCAAGUUUCUCAAAUUUUGUCCAUAAAUUUGUUAUUUUCUCUCCUAUCAUGUAUUAAUACAAUAAGGCUUACUACUUGCUAGUGAUAAAUUAUGUGUUGAUUGAACUUGAGAAUAGGGUGUAAAUAAUAGCAAUUGUUUGGCUCUCUAUCUUUCCAUCUAUAAAUGCACUUUUUCAUAUUAAACAACUUUACAAGGUAUAGUUUAAAAUUUCUAAACCACAUGAAUGAUUUGGCAUGCAUACCAUAUAUUAGAUGAACUUGGGAUUGCUGGUGAAUUCUAAGAAUCAAGCAAGAAAAUUAUUGCACGUCUGGUUGCAGACUCAAUGAUGCAUUCGUAGGGUAACGAUACAAUAUUAUUUACUAAUCUUCAAACUGAAUCAUAUCAACGACUUGCAGGAUCCUUUGGUCGAGGCUGCCAAAGAAGAGGCAAGUUCUAUUAGUAACAUUUUCACACGGGCGUUUCAUUAAAAUAAAGUACAGUACAAUACAAGGUGAUGUCUUAAUUACUAUGAAUUGUACAUAUAUUUAGCUAUACUUUAUUAAUCAUAACUUUAGAAAAAAAUCUGCUUUUUCAGGUGGACUAAUCCUUUUAGGCCAAGUACUUCUUUAGCAUUAUUCCAGUAUAUUGCAAAAGCUCAGCUAUCCAAAUGUACAAUUCACUGGUGAGUAAACUUGCAAAGUAUCACCUACAAAAUUGAAUAUAAAAAAAUAUGAGCAGGUAUUCUUCAGAGUCCAGAUCACACAAUACCAAUAUGGUCUUAUUUUGAACCUCUAGCCAAUUAUGGAAACUCCUAAGAUUAUAACAUAUAAGUUAGAAGAGUUUCCUGAUGGCAAAUGUGUGCUGAUCUCCAACUCAAAAAAUAGAUUCACGGAGCCAUUACCGAGAAUAUCUUCUUGCAAAUUAUAUAUCAUGUGGUAGAAUUCACAUUUUUGCAAUAGAACCAACAUUUUUUCUAUCAAUGUGGAAUGUCUGCACCUUAUAAUUCAGUGUUAGAAUCAAUAUAGAUACACUUACGGUCUUACAGAACGACAUUGGCGAGGGACAUUAAAAGGACAAUCUGAUCUUUCUCUGUUGCUUGGACCAUUUGAUUUUUCUAUGCUGCUCUAUACUUUGUCAUUCAUACCACAAAGCGAUUAAGCUACAUAUACAGUAGCACAUGAGUAAAAAGAUCGGCUAACUUCGACAGAUGAAUUAAGAAAGAUAAAUACUUCAUCUAUUUUUCAAGUUUCUUCAUUUCACCAACAAACACAAAGAAGGUUAACAAUAAACUAUUAUCAAUGUGACUUCUUUCCUUAUAAAUUGUACUCAAAACUUGAUGUUUAGUUUUUUUUUAAUUGUUUAUAGGUCUUGGAGAGCACCAUACGUCUAAGCUAUCUUCACAGUUACUGGAAAAAAUUCUUGGAAUAGUAUUGUCAUUUCGUCUUGAUCAUACUUAGGCUAAUAUUAGUCCCAACGAAAUUCAUUUAUUUAUUUUUUAUUUUAAUUCAUUUGAAUUCGAUCCCUAAA
rnacentral:lncRNA from 1 species